rnacentral:rRNA from 1 species
CCCUUAGAUGUUCUGGGCUGCACGCGCGCUACACUGAAGCGUUCAACGAAUAUUCACCUUGCCCGGGAGGGUUGGGUAAUCUUUUGAAAACGCUUCGUGAUGGGGAUAGAUUAUUGCAAUUAUUAAUCUUCAACGAGGAAUUCCUAGUAAGCGCGAGUCAUCAGCUCGUACUGAUUACGUCCCUGCCCUUUGUACACACCGACCGUCGCUCCUACCGAUUGAGUGAUCCGGUGAAUAAUUCGGACUGCAGCACUGCUUGGUCUCCAGGCUUUGCAGCGGAAAGUUUAGUGAACCUUAUCACUUAGAGGAAGGAGAAGUCGUAACA